AUGCUUGAGCUGGCCAAGAGCGCGGAGAUGUGG
rnacentral:sRNA from 1 species